UACAGAGGUCCCAAGCGUUGUUCGGAUUCACUGGGCGUAAAGGGUGCGUAGGCGGUCGGGUAAGUCUGACGUGAAAUCUUCAAGCUUAACUUGGAAACUGCGUCGGAUACUAUUCGGCUCGAGGAAUGGAGGGGAGACUGGAAUGCUUGGUGUAGCAGUGAAAUGCGUAGAUAUCAAGUGGAACACCAGUGGCGAAGGCGAGUCUCUGGACAUUUCCUGACGCUGAGGCACGAAAGUCAGGGGAGCAAACGGG
rnacentral:rRNA from 1 species